AUUGAACUCUGGCGGCAGGCCUAACACAUGCAAGUCGAGCAAGCGGCGGACUGGUGAGUAAUGUCUGGGAAAAUGCCUGAUGGAGGGGGAUAACUACUGGAAACGGUAGCUAAUACCGCAUCCCAUCCGCUGUGCCCAGUGGUGAUUAGCUAGUAGGUGGUGUAGCGGCUCACAUAGGCGACGAUGCCUAGCUGGUCUUAGAGGAUGACCAGUCACACUGGAUCUUAGCCAAGGUCCAGACUCCUACGUGAGGCAGCAUUGGGGAAUUGUGCAAAAUGGGCGCAAGCCUGCUGCAGCCAUGCCGCGUGUGUUAAGUAGGCCUUCGGGUUGUAAAGCACUUUCAGCGGGGAGGCGUUACCCACAGAAGAAGCACCGGCUAACUCCGUGCCAGCCGCCGCGGUAAUAC
rnacentral:rRNA from 1 species